GUGGGGAAUAUUGGGCAAUGGGGGAAACCCUGACCCAGCAACGCCGCGUGAGUGAAGAAGGCCUUCGGGUUGUAAAGCUCUGUCAUUAGGGAAGAAGAAGUGACGGUACCUAAUGAGGAAGCCCCGGCUAACUACGUGCCAGCAGCCGCGGUAAUACGUAGGGGGCGAGCGUUGUCCGGAAUUACUGGGCGUAAAGGGUGCGUAGGCGGCGUGUUAAGUUGGAUGUGAAAUACCCGGGCUUAACCUGGGGGGUGCAUUCGAUACUGGCAGGCUAGAGUGCAGGAGAGGGAAGCGGAAUUCCUAGUGUAGCGGUGAAAUGCGUAGAUAUUAGGAGGAACACCAGUGGCGAAGGCGGCUUUCUGGACUGUAACUGACGCUGAGGUGCGAAAGCGUGGGGAGCAAACAGGAUUAGAAACCCGGGUAGUCC
rnacentral:rRNA from 1 species